AGGUGUGGUUGAAGGUUCCUUCAGAGGAUGGAAGGAAUGGAGAAAGAAAAUUUUGAGGAUCCUAUAUUCAUGUGAAAGCCACCAAUGUCCUUGUUUAGAGCUAACAUUUUAAUAGAAAACCAAUCUGAAACCUCCACCUGCUAUUGCUCUCCUUCAGCUGAGGAACUGAUCAGCAAUCGGCAUUGCUCCAUAAUUGCUCAUCUGCGACUCGGCGCAGGCUGCAAUCUUCUGGUCCCCAGGCCUUGGGAUUUAGACCUCCCCAACUGGGCUAAAUUACAUCCAUUUUUAUAAGCUCAGCAAGAUAAGACUUCACAAAUAAUUGCAUAUUCAGACAUUUUUCAGCCUGGAUGUGUACACCAUACUACAAGGACUGCCAAAAUUGUAGGACCACAGAAGUUCCCAGAAAAACAACCUCCUGCUUCUCAGUCUUGCUGUCUUCUCUGCUGUGGGUCAAACUCAUUUUCAUCAGGGGCCACAUCAGCCUCACGGUUGCCUUCAAAGGGCCAAACAUAAUUUUAGGGCUGUAUAAAUGUAGGAGUAGUUACAUUUAUACAGCCCUAAAAUUACAUUUUAGGGCUGUAUAAAUGUAGGAGUAGUUACAUUUAUACAGUCCUAAAAUUACAUUUUAGGGCUGUAUAAAUGUAGGAGUAGUUACAUUUAUACAGCCCUAAAAUUAUGUUUGGCCCUUUGAAGGCAACCGCGAGGCUGAUUUGGCCCUGGGUGAAAAUGGGUUUGAUACCCCUGCCUUACACCCUCUGUGACCAAAAUAGGGAUAGCCUUCUCCUUCAGAUGCUGUCCGUGAAAGUAAUUGCUUCCAACAAAAAUCAUGCCUUGAUUAGUUCUUUAAAGCAUUGUGCAAUCACAUAAUAUUCAGCUGGCUAAAAAUAUGUGACUACAGAGGAAAAGAAUGCUCUCUUAAAUAAUACUUUUUAGCUUCAUAUCUGUGAGCUCUUCUCAGUGUAACAGGAAAUACUUUGGAGCUACUAUGUAUGGGUAUCACUGGAUAUUGUUGAAGUAACAGCUGGAAAUCCUCUUCAGGUAUCUGAAAAACAUAGGAAGUAUUUCUUGAGAAAAUUAAAUCAGACCUGUUUCUUUGGAAAAACAAACAAACAAACAAAAAAGGUAAGCAUUUAAGGAAUCAAAAUAAAAAAUGUGCAGGGGUCAACCAGGCAGGCCUGGUCUGCAUUAGGUUUGUUUUUAAGGAUUUCCCACUUCUUGCUAGAUCACUUUAGUCCCAUCAGUCAAAGCUCUGCCUUUAGCCUUUUCAAAAGUAUUGGGUGUUCUUUAGCUCUUGCAUGAAAGUUUCUACCUUCCUUUUCUUCAAAACGAUAAUUUCUGGAUCACAGAGAGGAAUCAUAACCUCUUAAAAUUUGCACAAGAAAUUAUCUGGGACAGCAGCGUGAACCUUUACCAUAUGUUUUGUCAACCACAUGGUGACUUUCUGGAAAUGAAAUUCUUUCAUCACAUAACCUCAAAGCAGGACUGUUGCCAUUACAGUGUAACCAAUAUUUUAUUGUAGUGUUAUGCAUCACACAGCUUUGGUGCUGUUCUAUAUUUAUUAUACUGCUUUUCCAUUUACUAUUUGGCAGAACUUUCUGAAUUAGCACUUUGAGUCUUUGUGUUGCACAUUCAGGAACCAGGAAAUAGCAUACAUAUAGACACGUCCCAUACACCCAGUAGCAGUAGUAUUAUUGUCAUGAUGCAUAUAUUUGAAGAUUUUCAAAACUAGUAUCAUUAUUACUUCAUAUCAUGUUUCAUCUAUCAUAAUGUUACCAUGCCAGGGGAUUUGUCAUACAUGUACUAUCAUAAAAAUAAAGAUUUGAGUAACUUACAUGUGGGGAUGCAUUGCUUUCAUGAGAACAGGGAAUCUCCUUCCUUACCCAAAGGAAUAUUAGAGCAAAGCUGCAAAAUUCAUUAUUGGGAGUCAUAAUAUCAAUGUUACUUAAGUACUACGGUGUAUACAAGAAGUCUGGUUGCCUUUUUGAAAGUGGAAUAAAAUAAUGGGUCAGAAGUUUUCUCGUUCGUUCAGUUGUCAAAUUUUACUCAUGGGAUAAUUAUAACUUAGGAAGACAUAAGUGAGGUAGAAACAUAAUAGGCAAAAAACAGUUCAAUGGGGAAAUCUUUGUAUUUUAAGGGAAUGUGAGUGUUGGCAAUGUUAUGACCUGGGUAGGGUUGUGCUCCUACAGUCAGAGCUGUAGGAAGCCUCUUCUGCCCAUCGUUUGUUGUCUUCAAGGGGAUGACUGGCAGUGUAAAAAACUCUCUUUUUUUCUUUGCCUGUUGCACAGCAGCAAAUCCAUGAUUGAAUGUUGUUGAAUCCAUGUAAAAGCAGUAAUGUAUAUGAUGAUUUUGCUGCACUUAUUUUACCUACUAAUAUGUCUAUAGGCUGAAGAAUGUAGGUAUCCUACAAUUUUGUGGGAAUGUAUAAUCAUGACCAAAAGCAGUGAGGUAAUAAAGUGCUAUCUCUGUUUUUCACAUGAAGGAUGAAAGAGGGAGGAAAAGCAGAACUGUUGCAUCCUGCGAUGAGAAAUGCUUGAGAGAGAAACAAAUUAAGCUUCUGAACUUAAGGUAGCCAUAGUGUACCAGGUAGCCAAAUUAGUGUGGCAUUGCAGUCAGGCAAAAAAGCCCUAAAGAAAUAACAUGGCAGAACUGUCCUCAGGAUUGAGACAGUGUCUCUGUACAGCCUUAUUUUCUGUUUAUGUUCUUAUGAAAAUAAAGUGUGCCUAGUUAAAUAAAAUGUGCAGUUGGAACACUGAGGAAUCAGGGCAAAGAAACCCAUGUGGGAGAUUUUGUGGUUAAAAAUAAGUUCUUCCACUAAAAUAAAGAAUGUGGUGCUAGAAAAAGUAAAAUCAAAGGACGUAGAUGCAUCACCACUUUUUUGUGUCUUACUCUUACUUCCUUUAUUGUUUUGUGUCUUCUUCCAAACAGUUGGUUUCUCAGAAUCUAGCGUAUUUUUCAUGUUUUCCUGUAUCUUUUUGGGAAAAUAAAAUAAAUAAAAUAAAAUAAUUGUUCAUCUGUGUUGGAUCAGAUACUUUAAUGUACCUUCUGCUGUUUCCCUCCUUUCCCCUACCCUGCACUGCCAUGCUGGGUCAUAGCACUGGCUGAAGAGAGGGAGAUACACUAGGGGAGGAAGAAACACAAGUAUUUAAACAAGUAGUAUUUCAGCUUUUUCAUCUCCCUCCUCAAUUUAAAUCACUGUAUGUCUUCUAAACCCAGAGAACACUUUACUUGCAUGAAGGUUAUGAUUUAUACUCCAUGCUCAUUUGGAAGUAUCAUUACCCUUUGCAAAAACAAACCAGAACACCACCCCAAAGCACAAUCCGCUGCUGGAGAAAAGGCAGAGCUUGCCAGAUACUCUGCUUCACCCUGGCCAGCUGUGCGGUCCUUCAGAUGUUCUCUUGGUGGCUCUAUGUGUGGGAAAAAAACAAACACAGGGAAACCCAUGCCUCAGUGUGAAGAGCACUGCAUAAAUGUAAACUCUGAAGCUGCCAUGCCCUCAGCAGCUGGAUAUCUGUUUUGUGGUCUUUCUGUUUAGCUCUGCAUUGUGUGAGCUAACUGACACAGGUUAGUGAUGCUGUAAAAAGAAAAGAGUGAAGUCCUCAAAUAUCGGGUUUAUUCUCACGCAGAAAAAUAAUUUGCAUAUCCCUAUGCCUUACUAACAGAUUGGAAACUUGUUAAUAGGUUGCAAACUGUGCCUCAUAAUAUGUGCAUUCCUUGACUGUUGACUAACAGAUGCAACCAGCCGUGCCUUGUGUGUACUAUAAUACAAUUCUUUGGGGAGUCAGUAAUAAUGGAGUGAUUUGGUGCCCUUCUGAUUCUGGGUUUAAUUCAACCAAGUGUCAGGCCUCUUUGACUUCUAGAUGACUUCAGAGUUCUCAUUGCAGAGCAUCAAGAUUAUGUUACUUUCCUCCUUCUCAUUUUUAUUACUCAAAUGCAAAAAUAAUAAAUAAAUAAGCACUGUAAUGACUCGA